ACAUAUACCAUCAUUUUGAGUACACGUUAUCAUUAUCAUACCUCUUGUAAUGUAACCCUACUUCUGAACCUAUUCAUCAUUUUUAGUUUUUGUGCCUUAGUCUUAUUGCAAGGAUAUGAUCAAUUCUGAAUGCAACCUCAAAAUUGUUUUUGUAUGCUUAGUAUACAUUUCAUUAAAAUUGAUUGUUUAUGCUUAGCACAUUUCAUUUUGGUACAUACACAAGUGAAAGUAAAAAAAAAAAAUUAGCCUUGUCAAGAUUUGAU
rnacentral:lncRNA from 1 species